rnacentral:tRNA from 1 species
GGAGAGGUACCGAAGCGGUUGUAACGGGCCCGACUCGAAAUCGGGUUGGGGGCCAAAAGCCCUCACGUGGGUUCGAAUCCCACCCUCUCCGCCA